GAAAGCACGACAUUGCUCACAUUGCUUCCAGUAUUACUUAGCCAGCCUUGCGCUGGCUUUUUUUU
rfam:Buttiauxella agrestis ATCC 33320 GBAG.assembly.070, whole genome shotgun sequence.